rnacentral:tRNA from 1 species
GCAGGUGUAUCGAAGCGGUCAUAACGAGCUAGCCUUGAAAGCUUGUCUGGGGUAACCCACGGGGGUUCGAAUCCCUCCGCCUGCGCCA